ensembl:snRNA U6 U6 spliceosomal RNA
GUGGAUUGCCUGGCAGCAUGUAUACUAAAUCUAAAACAAUACAGACAAGAUUAACAUGGUCCUUACAUGAGGAAAACAUGCAAAUUCUUCCCAUGUUUUU